AAAAAAUAGCUAUUCGAACACACCUACUCUGUUUUUGUGAUUCAUUAGAUAGGUAUCUCAAUUGACCCAUAUAUUUCAUCUUUUCGUACUGUCAUUUUUUUACGUUAUAAAGUCAACCUGUAGCUUUGAUAUAUAAUAAUGAUAAAAUCUGAAGCGAGAUGCUAUAUAAAAUACUCUUGCUUUGUACGUUUUAAAGACAAA
rnacentral:lncRNA from 1 species